GAACACUCAUUCGGUAUAAUACUAUCUUGUCCUCUCGAUUGAUACCAUACUCGUACUUAGUCACUUCUUCAACUUGAUUUCUUGUGAUGAUCAAGUCUUCCAUAUCUAUCAUGUCCUUUCGAUAGAUAUCUCCUCAGAACCAAACAUGUACCCAACAUAGCCACCAAUCUUCAAGGGUUUGGUCUUCGGGGGUCAUUACCUGCCACAACGUUCCUACACAAAACAAGAACACAAACCACAAGUUCUCGUGCAAAAGCACAGAACGUCUAUUAAAAAAACUAAUAUUUUCC
rnacentral:lncRNA from 1 species